CUCAGCUGAACCUGAAGCUUGAUGAAGAAGGCCGUCAAUAAUUCAACAAAAACUAACAGAAUAUGGAUCAGAUUUGGAUAACGACUUCUUAGACAUUCACACAACAGGCUAAACAAUUCAAAGAGGGAUCUCUGGAUGAUCGAGCAGCAAGUCCAGCAUUAUGUGGGAAAGAUACUACAGGUGUACACAGAAAAGGCCAUGUUCAUGUACAAGACACGGUUGGAGUUCAUAUAAGAUUAAGCUGCCUCAUGCUAUACAGACGUGGAUAAAAACUUCUUAGGGAGGCUGCCGAAACAAGCUGUCCAAGGAAUGGUGA